rnacentral:rRNA from 1 species
AUUCGGGGAGGACAGGUGGUGCAUGGUUGUCGUCAGCUCGUGUCGUGAGAUGUGGGUUAAGUCCCGCAACGAGCGCACCCCUAUUGCUAGUUACCAUCAUUAAGUUGGGGACUCUAGCGAGACUGCCAGUGAUAAACUGGAGGAAGGUGGGGAUGACGUCAAAUCAUCAUGCCCCUUAUGACCUGGGCUACAAACGUGAUACAAUGGCUGGAACAAAGGGAUGCGAAGCAGUGAUGUGGAGCGAAACCCAUAAAAACAGUCUCAGUUCGGAUUGAAGUCUGCAACUCGACUUCAUGAAGUCGGAAUCGCUAGUAAUCGCGGAUCAGAACGCCGCGGUGAAUACGUUCUCGGGGUUU